GCUUGUGCUUCUAUAAUUCAAUUUCAUUUUACUUUCGUAGAUUAAUUAGUCAUUAUAAAUAUUGUGACAAUGCCUUGAGGUAAUGAUAGUUUUCCCCUAAAAACUUUGAGUAAUGGAUUCAAUUGGUAAUAUUCGAAUUAUGUGAUAAAUGUUUAAAAUUGUUUCGGAUGUGAAUAUGAAUAUUUGAACAUUGAUAUUACAAUGAUAUAUGUUAAAAAUGGUGAUUAUGAUGUUAACGGCCCAUUAAACGAUCUUAGAUGUAACUCGAGUAUUG
rnacentral:lncRNA from 1 species